UUUUAUUUGACAGAGAGAGAUCACAAGUAGGCAGAGAGGCAGGCAGAGGCAGAGGGAGAAGCAGGCUCCCCGCUGAGCAGAGAGCCCCAUGUGGGGCUCUUAUCCCAGGACCCUGAGAUCAUGACCUGAGCCGAACACUGAGCCACCCAGGCGCCCCAGAAUGAUGACUUUUUGAACCCAAUCGUCUUGAAAAGUUUGCUGGAAGGAAAAGGCUACCAUGUAAGGAAGAAAUCCAAGCAAGGUAGUCCUAUGAAGACUGCUUGGAUGGUGAGAUGCGUAUGCAGUCCCCAGCUCGUCCAGCCCCUCCAGCCAGAUCCCAGACUUUGAAUGAAGAAGCCAUUUUGAAGAUUUCAACUUAGUAGACCUUGCUGGAGAAAUAAAACAAAAUAAACAAUUUAUCAAA
rnacentral:lncRNA from 1 species